UACGAAGGGGGCUAGCGUUGCUCGGAAUCACUGGGCGUAAAGCGCACGUAGGCGGAUCGUUAAGUCAGGGGUGAAAUCCUGGAGCUCAACUCCAGAACUGCCUUUGAUACUGGUAAGCUCGAGUCCGGGAGAGGUGAGUGGAACUGCGAGUGUAGAGGUGAAAUUCGUAGAUAUUCGCAAGAACACCAGUGGCGAAGGCGGCUCACUGGCCCGGUACUGACGCUGAGGUGCGAAAGCGUGGGGAGCAAACAGG
rnacentral:rRNA from 1 species